rnacentral:lncRNA from 1 species
AAUGUGUCUCAAACUUACUCUUUGCACAUACAUAAAGAUUUUUUUUAUUGUUAUAUAUAUAAAAAUUUAUAUCUGUUGUUUUUUCAUAAUUUAUAUGCAACUAAACAAAAAAUUGUAACUCAUACAAGACUAAGAACAAAAAUCUUUUAUUGUAGAAACUUUUAACUUUUACAUAUAUAUAUGUUUUUGAUAAACCCUUUUUAUUUGCCCACUCCAAAGAAGAGGUAAACUGUUUUUAUUUGUCUGUUUGUGUGUCCAUCCAUCUUUAUGUCCUUUCAUCCCAUUAAAUUCUACAAUGCUAUGAAUGAAAUUUCCAUUACAAAGAAACUGAAAUUAAGAGAUCCCUGCAGAAAUAUAUUAUCAGGCUUCUGGUAAACAUGUACUGUUUAUAGGGUUUUCAAAUCCAUUGUUCACCAACCUACUAUCUUUUGAUUUCAUAAAACAGGGGCAUUUUAAAUUAACUUGUUUACAUUCAGUUUUAACUAAAUGGUGUGUAGUUCAGCUAGCAAGUGAAUGUUAUUUAAUUCAUUACUUUACUGCACCAUUGUAAGUGUCUUGUGGAGAAAAAUUAUGGUCAGAUUUAAUAAGGCUGAAAAGGACAGACAAAAGUAAGCCUUUUAUUCCACAAUCAUAUUUAAGCAGCCAUGGAGAUCAUAAAAAUAUUUUGAAUCGCAAUAAAUUUUACCUUGCAACAAUAUUUGUUGGACAAAACUGAUGUUGCUCUGGUACCCACUAUAUGAUUUAUAUUCUGUUUACAAACCAGUUGCUGUUUGGAUCUUUAUUCAUUUGGAAUUGCUCAAAAUACUUCUACAAUCAUCCAAAUCAAAAUAACAUGUAAAUAAAAGGUUGAUCUAGUCAUUAUAAACAUUCCAUUAUAGUGGUAUUUAUAGAUACAAUAGGUGGGAUAUAUUACUUUAUUCAGUGUAAAACAUGAGUAUAACAUAUGUUUAUUCAGAGUAUCAUGUCUAGUUAGUGUAUCAUUCAGUGUAAGUGUAACACAUGUUUAUUUAGUGUAUCAUAAAGUGUAACACAUGUUUUUUUACUUUGCAUCAUAUGUUUAUUUAGUGCAACAUAUGUUUAUUAAAUGUAACUUGUCUGGUUUUUUUUCAACAUUGCAUCUAUCUACAAAGGUUCCCUAUUCAAUAAUUAAUGUUUAAAUUUACUGCCUAAAUUUUGCCUAAAUGUGAAAAUGGUUCAUUGUACAUUUACUGCUGGCAUUUAUGAGUGAAAAAGAGGAACUAAAAAUCUAUAUUUAGUUGGUUAAAUGAGAACCUUUUUUGAUGAUCAAGGUUUUUUUCAAGCUAUUCACAGCAGUAUAGAUGCAUUCUGUUUUUGUUUGUAAAAAAAUCUUUAAAGGUAUUUUAUUUUCUGUUAAUAAAUUAAGUGUUAAUUCAGUUUAUUCAAAGGUAUCUGUUUGUGAUGUUUCAUAUCAUUGUGAGCUUUUUAUUAUCAAAUUGUUAUAGGACACUUUGUUUUCUGGUUUUAUAGGUAUUGCUCAAAUGGCAAAAACACUACUUAUGUAUAUUGAUUUAAGGUCAAAGGUCACAUAUAACAUAUCUAAAGGAAAUCAUAUCAAUAGAAAAAUUGAUCUCUACUUAAAGUCUUUUUUUAGGAAAUUCAUUUCAUGCUAGAUAAAUGUUGUC